rnacentral:rRNA from 1 species
AGGACGAACGCUGGCGGCGUGCUUAACACAUGCAAGUCGAGCGGAAAGGCCUUUCGGGGUACUCGAGCGGCGAACGGGUGAGUAACACGUGAGUAAUCUGCCCAUCGCUUCAGGAUAGCCAUCGGAAACGGUGAUUAAUACUGGAUAUGACAUUCCUUCGCAUGUUGGGGUGUGGUAAAGUUUUUUCGGCGGUGGAUGUGCUCGCGGCCUAUCAGCUUGGUUGGUGGGGUAAUGGCCUACCAAGGCUUG